AUUGAACGCUGGCGGCAGGCCUAACACAUGCAAGUCGAACGGAGCGGCGGACGGGUGAGUGCUGCCAAUGAAUCUGCCUGGCAGUGGGGGAUAAAGUCCGGAAACGGGCGCUAAUACAGCAUACACUCAGAUGAGCCUAUGGCGGAGUAGCUAGAUGGAGGUGUAAAGGCCCACCAAGGCUACGAUCCGGAACUGGUCCGAGAGGAAGAUCAGUCACACUGGAACUGAGACACGGCCCAGACUACUACGUGAGGCAGCAGUGGGGAAUAUUGUGCAAUGGGCGAAAGCCUGAUCCAGCCAUGCCGCGUGUGUGAAGAAGGUCUUCGGAUUGUAAAGCACUUUCGGUUGGGAGGCGUUACCUACCGAAUAAGCACCGGCUAACUUCGUGCCAGCAGCCGCGGUAAUUC
rnacentral:rRNA from 1 species